CUGUGAGGGUUGCUGGAGGUAUCAGAAGUGCGAAUGCUGACAUAAGUAACGAUAAAGCGGGUGAAAAGCCCGCUCGCCGGAAGACCAAGGGUUCCUGUCCAACGUUAAUCGGGGCAGGGUGAGUCGACCCCUAAGGCGAGGCCGAAAGGCGUAGUCGAUGGGAAACGGGUUAAUAUUCCCGUACUUGGUGUUACUGCGAAGGGGGGACGGAGAAGGCUAUGUUGGCCGGGCGACGGUUGUCCCGGUUUAAGCGUGUAGGUGUGUGUUCCAGGUAAAUCCGGUU
rnacentral:rRNA from 1 species